UGUUUAUCAAAAACAUGUCUUUUUGAUAAUAAUAUAAAGUCUAACCUGCCCACUGAUUUAAUUAAAGGGCCGCGGUAUAUUGACUGUGCAAAGGUAGCAUAAUCAUUUGUCUUUUAAUUGAAGGCUAGAAUGAAUGGUUGAAUGAAGUAUUAACUGUCUCAUUUUUAAAAAAUAAAAAAUUAAUUUUUUAGUUAAAAAGCUAAAAUAAUUUUAAAGGACGAGAAGACCCUAUAGAUCUUUAUAAUUUAAUUUAAAAUAAAUAUUAGAUUAAUAUAUUUUUAUAUUAAAUUAAAUUAUUUUAUUGGGGUGAUAGGAAAAUUUAAUUAACUUUUUUUAUUAUAAACAUUUAUUUAUGAAUAAUUGAUCCUUUUUUAAAGAUUAAAAGUUUAAGUUACCUUAGGGAUAACAGCGUAAUUUUUUUAGAGAGUUCAUAUCGAUAAAAAAGAUUGCGACCUCGAUGUUGAAUUAAAGGUUAUUUUUAAAUGCAGAAGUUUAAAGUUUAAGUCUGUUCGACUUUUGAAUCUUUCAUGAUCUGAGUUCAACCCGG
rnacentral:rRNA from 1 species